GACGAACCGUGCGAACGUUGUUCGGAAUCACUGGGCUUAAAGGACGCGUAGGCGGGUGACCAAGUCAGGGGUGAAAUCUUUCGGCCCAACCGGAAAAGUGCCUCUGAUACUGGUCGUCUUGAGGGAGGUAGGGGUCGAGGGAACUGGUGGUGGAGCGGUGAAAUGCGUAGAUAUCGCUAGGAACGCCGGUGGCGAAAGCGCUCGACUGGACCUCUUCUGACGCUGAGGCGCGAAAGCCAGGGGAGCAAACGGG
rnacentral:rRNA from 1 species